ACUGCUCAGUAACACGUGGCUAAUCUGCCCUUGGGACCGGAACACCCCCGGGAAACUGGGGCUAAUUCUCGAUAGGCGAAGAACUCUGGAAUGAGUCUUCGUCAAAAAGACGUUUACGUUAUGCUCGUAGGCGUCGCCCAAGGAUGAGGCCGCGACCGAUCAGGUUGUUGGUGAGGUAAUGGCUCACCAAGCCUUUUACCGGUGCGGGCCGUGAGAGCGGGAGCCCGGAGAUGGGCACUGAGACAAGGGCCCAGGCCCUACGGGGCGCAGCAGUCGCGAAAACUUUGCAAUACACGAAAGUGUGACAGGGCUAUCCCGAGUGCCAUCCGCUGAGGAAGGCUUUUACCCAGUCUAGAACGCUGGGGGAAUAAGGAGAGGGCAAGUCUGGUGUCAGCCGCCGCGGUAAUACCAGCUCUUCGAGUGGUGUGGAUGUUUAUUGGGCCUAAAGCAUCCGUAGCUGGCUAAGUUAGUCCCCUGUUAAAUCCACCGAAUUAAUCGUUGGAUUGCGGGGGAUACUGCUUGGCUAGGGGACGAGAGAGGCAGACGGUAUUUCCGGGGUAGGGGUGAAAUCCUAUAAUCCCGGGAAGACCACCAGUGGCGAAGGCUGUCUGCUAGAACGCGCCCGACGGUGAGGGAUGAAAGCUGGGGGAGCGAACCGGAUUAGAUACCCGGGUAGUCCCAGCUGUAAACGAUGCAGACUAGGUGUUUGGACGGCCACGUGCCGUUCUAGUGCCGCAGGGAAGCUGUUAAGUCUGCCGCCUGGGGAGUACGAUCGCAAGAUUGAAACUUAAAGGAAUUGGCGGGGGAGCA
rnacentral:rRNA from 1 species